GACGAACGCUGGCGGCGUGCCUAAUACAUGCAAGUAGAACGCAGUUGCGAACGGGUGAGUAACGCGUAGGUAACUGCCUCAUAGCGGGGGAUAACUAUUGGAAACGAUAGCUAAUACCGCAUACUGUGAGAUGGACCUGCGUUGUAUUAGGUAGUUUGUGAGGUAAAUGCUCACCAAGGCGACGAUACAUAGCCGACCUGAGAGGGUGGACCGGCACACUGGGACCUAGUACAGGCCCAAGCUCCCUCCGGGAGGAGGCGUAGGGGAUCUUUGGGAAAUGACGGAAAGCUGAACGAGGAAAGGCGCGGUAGUGAAGGAGGUUUUCGGAUCGUAAAGGUCUGUUGUUAGAGGAGCGGUAACUAAACAGGAAGGGAAGGGUAAAUACGUGCCAGCAGCCGCGGUAAAUCC
rnacentral:rRNA from 1 species